rnacentral:rRNA from 1 species
UACGUAGGGUGCAAGCGUUGUCCGGAAUUAUUGGGCGUAAAGAGCUCGUAGGCGGUUUGUCACGUCGGAUGUGAAACCCCGGGGCUCAACCCCCGGGCCUGCAUUCGAUACGGGCAGACUAGAGUUCGGCAGGGGAGACUGGAAUUCCUGGUGUAGCGGUGAAAUGCGCAGAUAUCAGGAGGAACACCGAUGGCGAAGGCAGGUCUCUGGGCCACUACUGACGCUGAGAAGCGAAAGCAUGGGGAGCGAACAGG